AGAUGUGAGGACCUGGCUGUUACCUCAUUGAUCUCCAUAGUUGAUUCGAUUAGCUGGUCUGGCUGGGUGGUUGAAUGUACCCUUCCUUUCUCCCUCUAUGUUCUCCAUGUGAAUCCCUCCCCAAAAUGUGUGUUCUGUCAAAGACAGAGAUGGACUGAUCUUCAGUCAAAGGUGUAACUGUGUCCCCCUGCUAGAACCUUCAAGCAAGCUCUCAAGAAGUCUGGUAAAAGAAAUGACAUGUGGUUUCAAGUCAGUGUCUUGUUUAUCACCCAAUCUGAGGUGCCACUU
ensembl:misc_RNA 7SK 7SK RNA